rnacentral:SRP_RNA from 1 species
GCCGGGCAUGGUGGCAUAUGCCUGUAGUCCCAGCUACUCUGGAGGCUGAGGCAGAAGAAUCGCUUGAACCCAGGAGGCGGAGGUUGCAGUGAGCUGAGAUCGCUCCACUGCACUCCAGCCUGGGUGACAGAGUGAGACUCUGUCUCAA